rnacentral:tRNA from 1 species
GGUCCCGUAGCUCAGCUGGAUAGAGCAGCCGACUUCUGAUCGGCAAGUCGCACGUUCGAAUCGUGCCGGGAUCGCCA